GAGGAAAUCCUCUACCUAGCAUUAAAAAAUGGAUGAAAACCAAUCAUGAGAAAUUGAAAUUGACUUCAUGAAUUAUCAGAAUGGGGAACAUCUUGAUCAGCCAAUUCAAACUCAGUUUCAGUUUGAUGAUUAGAAAGGAAAGGAACAAAUCCAAUUCAAAAGUGGGUCUCAUCUUUUUAUAGGAAUCAAAGCUAUCCUUGAAUUAUUAU
rnacentral:misc_RNA from 1 species